GCCAGUUGCCAUGCUGCUUCUUGGUGAUUAGAAAAUGAUUAGUUCUUUCCUUUGCAAUGUGUUGAUUGAUCAGUCACUUAACUUGGAGAUGUGGAAAGAAGAAGAAUGUGUUUACUCAGAAGCAAGCAUCUUCUCUCAGGAUCUCCAUGGCUUUGCAUAUGCUGUUCCCGCCUAAUGCAGACCACAUCAUUCCUUUCUCAGAAUGCAGAAGUGGUGGCAGCAUUUAAACCAUAUGAAAAAUAUGACACCCAAGAGAUGACACAGCAAGAGAUGGAAGACUCCUGGGCCACCAACUUUACAGAGCCAUGACACCAAACCUGGGCUGCCCGCUCCAACUCUACCUCAUUUGAGCUACUGUUGUUUUCAGAUUUUGAGAUGGCUGUUGAAUCUCUAUCCUGCUUAGCACAGGGGAGUCAACUUCCCUGCCCUCACUUCACCUUGAGAUCUGGAGAGAUGUCACGACUAUCUGUUAGAUCUUUGUGGGAACUUCUGACCUUAGCUAUGUGUAGAACUUGCCCAAGGUAGCUGCUGCCACUGGAGCCUGAUGACAGAAUGAAAUAUGUGGAACUGACCUGGCCUUUGCUCCCAGCCAAGAACAUUGCAGCUGCUUUGAAACCUGCAGAAAUAGAGACUUUGGUUUAUUUGCCACUGAGUUUUGAAGAGGAGGAAUUGUGCAGCAUGAUUGCCUGGAAAACUGAUGGAUACAAAGUACACACUGAAGUUCUGGUGGCUGGGAAGUUCAAUGUCAAGGUGCAAGCAAUUAUGUGUCUGGUAUGAACUCUCUGCUUCAAAGAUGAUGCCUCUUGCUGAGGUCUCAAGAGGAGAAGCAGACAGGUGUGGAAAUCUGAGAAUAGAAGGGAGUGUGUUCCAUCCUGUUUGGUCCUGAGUGGCAGAAACCAUAUUUCCUGAUUCCAGUGAAGGAAGAGAAAAGACUUGGUCUCACUGGGAGAGGGGACAGAAGGCUUGAAACAGUCUUUCUCAGUCUUCUGCCUCAGUGUGACUAGAAAGCAGGCAGAAUUUUAAGGACCCCAACAAAGAAGAUGGCAAAACAAGAGGCACUGGUAUUUGAGGCCAAUAACAUCUAAACAGAGGAAGAAAGGGAGCCCGAGGAGAAGCAGAGCAAAGGGGAGCAGCCUUAAAAGAAAAGUCCCAGGGACGGAAGGAUUUGAGAAGACUGAGGAAAAAGAAGGACGAGAAACAGCAAAGUUUGUGCCUGUGACUUGGUCCUUGGCCUUUGGCACAGACCCGAGUAAUUGCUUUCAAGUAGUUUGGAGCAAGGGUAUUUUUGUUCUUUUGAAAAGGCUUUUUCCAAUACACAUAUAUUACUCUACAUAUUAUCAUUAUUGCUGUUAUUCUUAUUUUUGUUUGGAAAGAAUGUUUUUAGUCCCUAUAUGGUAGGUUGCACAUUCUUUUCCAUAUCGACAGAACCCAAUCAACAGU